rnacentral:rRNA from 1 species
AGUUAGGAAAUGUAGGCUCGCUAAUGCCGUGUCUAUUUGACAAAGGCUCCAAAGGAAGCCACGGCUAACUCUGUGCCAGCAGCCGCGGUAAUACAGAGGUGGCAAGCGUUGUUCGGAAUUAUUGGGCGUAAAGAGCACGUAGGUGGAUUUGUAAGUCAGAUGUGAAAGCCUUCUGUUCAACGGGAGAAUUGCAUCUGAAACUACAGACCUUGAGUAUAGGAGGGGAGAGUGGAACUUCUGGU